rnacentral:lncRNA from 1 species
AUGAGAAAAUCGGGUCGACUGCUUCGCACAAAGAUGCUAGGAGGGCAGCCAAGUGGAACCUCUUCCAGUCAUAUAAAAAAUCACUACUUGGGUUCAAAUUUGCAGGCCGUGGGUCUUAAAAAUGGAAAACGCGCCUCUGAGGAAGCUUGUCAGACGCCCCCGUCUUUGGGCGUCCAAACAAGUGCAAAAGGUCGGUGGAAAGAAAGAACCAACUCUCCACAAACUUUGGGGGCUCCUCUGCUGAUCCCUGGGUUCAGAGGUGGUUCUGUUUUCGAGAGCAAAGGAGUCUCAACAACACAAGUGAAAGAGCCUGUGGGGGAGAGUCCAAAGUACAGAUGGAUACGGUUAAGUACGUUCAAUUUAUUUGUUUACUACAGAAUGCAAACCCAAUUAAACGUCAUAACAGGAGCCAAUUUUGUCUUACGAGCAUAAAGAUACCAAGUUAAUCUGUCAACAGCAAUGGGCAAGCCAACAUGGAAGUCAGGACCUUGAUUUUGCCACGUUAAUUAAUGACUUGAGGGGAACAAAUACAGGAAGAAGAACUCGUGUAAUAGUAUUUUUUUUAAACGCUAAAAUCAGGACAGUAAACAAGGAACACCACUCAGAAAACAGAGGAAUUCCAAGCUUGAAACAAUCAGAGCCAGCUGACACCUCCCAACAAAGGAUUCCCCAAAGCAGGGAGCAGCCAGGCUUUGAAGCUGCAAGGCCAUUCAAUGCUAAUCAAUGUAGCCAAUUGAAACAUUCACAUUUGCCUCAGACAGACAACAUUUCUUUCUCUCACCCUGGACAUUCCACAGAUAUAUAAACCACAUUUGCUUAGUUUCCAACAAACCUCACAACCUCUGAGGAUGCCUGCCAUUGAUGUGGAGAAACGUCAGGAGAGAAUGCUUCUGGAACAUUGCCAUAUAGCCCAAAAACUCACAGCAACUCAGUGAUUCCAGCCAUGAAAGCCUUCAACAACACUAAUGUGAUAUGAUCAUUUCUACACUGUCAUAUAAUCCAGAUUAUCAAAGCAGAUGGUACACAUUAGCUGAUUUCAACUGGAUUAUAUAAGUCUACACUGUCAGAUAAUCCAGUUCAAAGCAGAUAAUCUGGGUUUUGUAUGGCAGUGUAGAAGGGACCUAGGAGACCAGAGUUGCAAUCCCUGCUCAGCCAUGGAAACCCACUGGGUGGCCUUGGGUAAGUCACACUCUCUCAGCCUCAGAGGAAGGCAAAGACAAACCCUCUGAACAAAUCUUGCCAGGACCUUGGAAUCUCUUUAUGUCAGGGACAACUUUGAAGGCAGUCAACCACAACAAUGCAAGAAGGAUUGUCCUUGUUACUCAGAUG